rnacentral:rRNA from 1 species
GAUGAACGCUGGCGGCGUGCCUAAUACAUGCAAGUCGAGCGAACGGACGAGAAGCUUGCUUCUCUGAUGUUAGCGGCGGACGGGUGAGUAACACGUGGAUAACCUACCUAUAAGACUGGGAUAACUUCGGGAAACCGUAGCUAAUACCGGAUAAUAUUUUGAACCGCAUGGUUCAAAAGUGAAAGACGGUCUUGCUGUCACUUAUAGAUGGAUCCGCGCUGCAUUAGCUAGUUGGUAAGGUAACGGCUUACCAAGGCAACGAUGCAUAGCCGACCUGAGAGGGUGAUCGGCCACACUGGAACUGAGACACGGUCCAGACUCCUACGGGAGGCAGCAGUAGGGAAUCUUCCGCAAAGGGCGAAAGCCUGACGGAGCAACGCCGCGUGAGUGAUGAGGGUCUUCGGAUCGUAAAACUCUGUUAUUAGGGAAGAACAUAUGUGUAAGUAACUGUGCACAUCUUGACGGUACCUAAUCAGAAAGCCACGGCUAACUACGUG